GGUUUAAUUCGAAGCAACGCGAAGAACCUUACCAAGUCUUGACAUCCCGAUAGACAAGCUAUGUAAUGUAGCCUCUCUUCGGAGCAUCGGUGACAGGUGGUGCAUGGUUGUCGUCAGCUCGUGUCGUGAGAUGUUGGGUUAAGUCCCGCAACGAGCGCAACCCCUGUUCUUAGUAGCCAGCGGUUCGGCCGGGCACUCUAGGGAGACUGCCAGGGAUAACCUGGA
rnacentral:rRNA from 1 species